rnacentral:rRNA from 1 species
CAGAGACAGGUGGUGCAUGGUUGUCGUCAGCUCGUGUCGUGAGAUGUUGGUUAAGUCCCGCAACGAGCGCAACCCCUAUUGUUAGUUGCCAUCAUUCAGUUGGGCACUCUAGCGAGACUGCCGGUAAUAAACCGGAGGAAGGUGGGAUGACGUCAAAUCAUCAUGCCCCUUAUGACCUGGGCUACACACGUGCUACAAUGGUUGGUACAACGAGUUGCGAGUCGGUGACGGCGAGCUAAUCUCUUAAAGCCAAUCUCAGUUCGGAUUGUAGGCUGCAACUCGCCUACAUGAAGUCGGAAUCGCUAGUAAUCGCGGAUCAGCACGCCGCGGUGAAUACGUUCCCGGGCCUU